rnacentral:rRNA from 1 species
UACGGAGGGGGCUAGCGUUGUUCGGAAUUACUGGGCGUAAAGCGCACGUAGGCGGCUUUGUAAGUUAGAGGUGAAAGCCCGGGGCUCAACCCCGGAAUUGCCUUUAAGACUGCAUCGCUUGAAUUGUGGAGAGGUAAGUGGAAUUCCGAGUGUAGAGGUGAAAUUCGUAGAUAUUCGGAAGAACACCAGUGGCGAAGGCGACUUACUGGACACAUAUUGACGCUGAGGUGCGAAAGCGUGGGGAGCGAUCCGG